rnacentral:rRNA from 1 species
AAUAGAUACCCAGGUAGUCCACGCCGUAAACGUUGGGAACUAGAUGUGGGGUCCAUUCCACGGAUUCCGUGUCGCAGCUAACGCAUUAAGUUCCCCGCCUGGGGAGUACGGCCGCAAGGCUAAAACUCAAAGGAAUUGACGGGGGCCCGCACAAGCGGCGGAGCAUGCGGAUUAAUUCGAUGCAACGCGAAGAACCUUACCAAGGCUUGACAUGCACCUGAAAAGGCUGGAAACAGUCUCCUCGCAAGACAGGUGCACAGGUGGUGCAUGGUUGUCGUCAGCUCGUGUCGUGAGAUGUUGGGUUAAGUCCCGCAACGAGCGCAACCCUCGUUCUAUGUUGCCAGCGCGUCAUGGCGGGAACUCAUAGGAGACUGCCGGGGUCAACUCGGAGGAAGGUGGGGAUGACGUCAAAUCAUCAUGCCCCUUAUGUCUUGGGCUUCACGCAUGCUACAAUGGCCGGUACAAAGGGCUGCAAUACCGUAAGGUGGAGCGAAUCCCGAAAAAGCCGGUCUCAGUUCGGA